rnacentral:misc_RNA from 1 species
GGAAUUUCUAUUCCUUAAAUAUAAAAUAAAAAAAAGAAUGAGGGGAUUAUAUUGGACCAUAAAUAAAUUUGCUUAUGCGAAUACACUUUUACUUGUCCUCUUUAGACGAGAACUUUUUUUUCCAAAUAGGGCAAUUUCCAUGGGAUGGAGGGAUUUUGUAAUUUUGUUGUCAUAACUAAAUAUUGCGCAUUGGAUCGUCACAGACAUCAGUCAGUAUGAACAAUUUUUGCCAUGGUUUGGAGCCUUCCGUUGCCAAUGAAUACUAAAGAUAAAUUUUGAUUUGUAAUUGUAUUUCAGAAUUAGACUACCAUUUCUUCUUUAUUUUAGUACAAUUUCCUUUCUUUUUGUGAUAAUUUUUUCAUAGGAUUAUGUGGUUAUCACUUCCUUUAGCUUCUGCCUGCACUUUCCUCUCAAAAUAAUCUGUAAUGAUUUUUUCUAAAAUUUUUUAAAGAAGGGAUGGUAUACUUCCAUGCUUUAACUUUCUUAAAAAUAAUAGGGAAAUUAA